GGGGUAAGAUGAAUCGAGAAAAAGCUUCUAACUUUCCACUCAAGCGGUUAAAUUCCGUUUUUACACCU
rnacentral:tRNA from 1 species